AUAUAAUUAAGCGGAGGAAAAGAAACUAACUAGGAUUCCCUUAGUAAUGGCGAAUGAACAGGGAAGAGCACAACAUGAAAAUCGGUGGCUUGACCUCCGAAUUGUAGUCUCUAAAGGAAUGUCCAGGAUCGGCGCAGGGGUAAGUCUCUUGGAAAAGAGCGUCAUAGAGGGUGAGAAUCCCGUCCAUACUCUGCAGACCGUUCCGUACGGCUUUCCGUUAACGAGUCGCGUUCCUUGGGAUUGGAGCGCAAAGUGGGUGGUAAACUUCAUCUAAUGCUAAAUAUUGGCGAGAGACCGAUAGCGCACAAGUA
rnacentral:rRNA from 1 species